GGCUGGGUAGCUCAGUGGAUUGAGAGCUAGCCUAGAGGUGGGAGGUCCUAGGUUCGAAUCCAGCCUCAGCCA
rnacentral:tRNA from 1 species